AUCGCUUCUCGGCCUCUUGGCUAAGAUCAAAGUGUAGCAUCUGUUCUCAUCAGCUUAAUACGUUCUUUAAGACCUUCAAUAUGAUGCGUCAGAAGUAGGGGAUUUUAAAGAUUGGCCCCCCUGGGACCCACU
rnacentral:snRNA from 1 species